UCGGGGAGGGUUCUUAAACGAUCCCAAGAGCGAGAUUAAGACACAAACGAGGUCAGAUGCCGUACAACCUUACAAGUUUUAUUUCGUAUAACAACUGGUAAUAGUGACAGGACAGAGGGAAGAAGAAAGGAAAAGGAGAGGCAGUCAUAAGCAAGAAAACAGGAGAGAUGCAGCAAGACUAGUUACCACCACCAUGAAGCCAGCAACAUCCUGUUGGCUCGGUCUUGGUGCAGGUGAUGGAGGUCCAAGUUCCAGGUUCCAGCAGACAGACGAUGGCAAAGUCCCAGUUCCAAGCACUGAUUUUCAAUCGCUUGCAGUUCCUUUCAGUUCCUUUUUCAAGGGAGGAGUACGCAGUUUUUCCGAAGAGUCCAGCCAUUUCCACAGAGACUGCUAGCUUCAGGCGGAUAUGGUGGUUUCUUCAGGGCCUUCAGCGCCUACUCCCCCACAGCAACAGGAUGCUGAGGCUAGCAAAUGGUCAGCAAUGUCGAGACAAAUAUAGUCCAACACAGUCUCUUACACUCCUCUAUUAAAAAUUUUCAGGUGUUU